rnacentral:rRNA from 1 species
UACGUAGGGAGCAAGCGUUGUUCGGAUUUACUGGGCGUAAAGGGCGCGUAGGCGGCCUGUUAAGUCAGACGUGAAAUCCCUCGGCUCAACCGGGGAACUGCGUCUGAUACUGGGUGGCUUGAAUCCGGGAGAGGGAUGCGGAAUUCCAGGUGUAGCGGUGAAAUGCGUAGAUAUCUGGAGGAACACCGGUGGCGAAGGCGGCAUCCUGGACCGGCAUUGACGCUGAGGCGCGAAAGCCAGGGGAGCAAACGGG